AGAGUUUGAUCCUGGCUCAGGAUGAACGCUGGCGGCGUGCUUAACACAUGCAAGUCGAACGGGGGCGAGGAGGAAACCUAGUGAAUCCUGCCCUAGUGGCGGACGGGUGAGUAACGCGUGGGCAACCUGCCGCAUACCGGGGGAUAACACUUAGAAAUAGGUGCUAAUACCGCAUAAGCGCACAGAGCCGCAUGGCUUGGUGUGAAAAACUCCGGUGGUAUGCGAUGGGCCCGCGUCUGAUUAGCUUGUUGGCGGGGGCAGCGGCCCACCAAGGCGACGAUCAGUAGCCGGCCUGAGAGGGUGGACGGCCACAUUGGGACUGAGACACGGCCCAGACUCCUACGGGAGGCAGCAGUGGGGAAUAUUGCACAAUGGGGGGGACCCUGAUGCGGCGACGCCGCGUGAGUGAAGAAGUAUUUCGGUAUGUAAAGCUCUAUCAGCAGGGAAGAAAAUGACGGUACCUGACUAAGAAGCCCCGGCUAACUACGUG
rnacentral:rRNA from 1 species